rnacentral:rRNA from 1 species
UACGGAGGAUCCAAGCGUUAUCCGGAAUCAUUGGGUUUAAAGGGUCCGUAGGCGGCCUUAUAAGUCAGUGGUGAAAUCUCCUAGCUCAACUAGGAAAUGGCCAUUGAUACUGUAGGGCUUGAAUUACUGUGAAGUAACUAGAAUAUGUAGUGUAGCGGUGAAAUGCUUAGAUAUUACAUGGAAUACCAAUUGCGAAGGCAGGUUACUAACAAUAUAUUGACGCUGAUGGACGAAAGCGUGGGUAGCGAACAGGAUUAGAUACCCUGGUAGUCCACGCCGUAAACGAUGGAUACUAGCUGUUUGGAGCAAUCUGAGUGGCUAAGCGAAAGUGAUAAGUAUCCCACCUGGGGAGUACGAACGCAAGUUUGAA